UAAGGAAUAUUGGUCAAUGGACGCAAGUCUGAACCAGCCAUGCCGCGUGAAGGAUGAAGGUCCUCUGGAUUGUAAACUUCUUUUAUCUGGGACGAAAACAGGAUUUUUAUCUCAAUUGACGGUACCAGAGGAAUAAGCACCGGCUAACUCCGUGCCAGCAGCCGCGGUAAUACGGAGGGUGCGAGCGUUAUCCGGAUUUACUGGGUUUAAAGGGUGCGUAGGUGGGCUUAUAAGUCAGUGGUGAAAUCUCCGAGCUUAACUUGGAAACUGCCGUUGAUACUAUAGGUCUUGAAUUAUCUGGAGGUAAGCGGAAUAUGUCAUGUAGCGGUGAAAUGCUUAGAUAUGACAUAGAACACCAAUUGCGAAGGCAGCUUACUGCAUAUAAAUUGACGCUGAGGCACGAAAGCGUGGGGAUCAAAC
rnacentral:rRNA from 1 species